rnacentral:tRNA from 1 species
GCGUCCAUAGCUCAACGGACAGAGCAUCGGUCUUCGGAACCGAGGAUGAGGGUUCAAUUCCCCCUGGACGCA